rnacentral:rRNA from 1 species
CCUACGGGAUGCAGCAGUGAGGAAUAUUGGUCAAUGGACGAGAGUCUGAACCAGCCAAGUAGCGUGAAGGAUGACUGCCCUAUGGGUUGUAAACUUCUUUUAUAUGGGAAUAAAAUGUUCCACGUGUGGGAUUUUGUAUGUACCAUAUGAAUAAGGAUCGGCUAACUCCGUGCCAGCAGCCGCGGUAAUACGGAGGAUCCGAGCGUUAUCCGGAUUUAUUGGGUUUAAAGGGAGCGUAGGUGGAUUGUUAAGUCAGUUGUGAAAGUUUGCGGCUCAACCGUAAAAUUGCAGUUGAAACUGGCAGUCUUGAGUACAGUAGAGGUGGGCGGAAUUCGAGGUGUAGCGGUGAAAUGCUUAGAUAUCACGAAGAACUCCGAUUGCGAAGGCAGUUCACUGGACUGCAACUGACACUGAGGCUCGAAAGUGUGGGUAUCAAACAGGAUUAGAUACCCCAGUAGUC